ensembl:lncRNA
UGAGCUGGGAACCACUGUUCUCAGUGCACUUGACUGAAAAAAACUUUUGCAAGCUGAGAUGUGUGGACUCAGUAAACAUGGCAUCAGCACUUUGCUAACCAGGUCUCUAUUUCCAGAUUUAGGUCAGAAAGAUUGACACAAAAAACAAAGACUCUUAACCUGAAUAAUCUGUGAUCCAAGUGCAAGCAGCAUAGAACUGUGAGAGAGAUGCAGCACCUAGAAACACCAGGUCCCAAAAGUUUGCUUUUGUGAGAGAACAUUGAAGCCAAGGAAAAAUCCUAGCUGAAAAGAAGGAAUGAAGAAACAUGCUACAAAAACUUUCUCUUACUGACCCAGAAUUCAUAUGAAUGAGAGCACAGAUGUGAUUUGAUCUAAGGAAGGCUGUACCAAUAUCUGCAACAAACAGAGAAAAAUGAGAAGACAAUUAUGGAUGUUGUAACUUCAGGAUGAACAACUCACACAUAAUAAAAAAUCUCCCAUUUAGAAGGAGGAAACUAUUUUAAGUUAUUACAGACAUUUAAAAGCAGAAAUCACUUCAGAUCUCAACAAUUUUUAAAAGCUUGUAGUACUUUUUGAAAACAGCUGCUGCAUGUGGAGAGGUGUUCGGGAUCUGCAAGACAAAGGUGCAGGACUCUAUUCACUCUUAUAUUAACCUCAAUGGAAAAAAAGUAUGUGACAUUUGGAAAGCCAAGCUUCAGAUCUGUCUCUGAUGUCUGCUCAAGGGGCUGGUGCUGUGUUCAGCGUAGGAGAUUGCAUGGCACGUGGCAGCAGCUGUCCCCAUCCCAGUACAAUACAAUCAGAAAAUGCCCAUGGUGAUACUUAGUCAGCCAUUAAGUUCAAUUUAAUUUUUAUAACACUGUGUAUUUGUGAGCUGCCUGUGCCCAGGGACAGGUAGGAUACUGUGAUUGUGAUUGUGCAUAGAUACCUGCGUUGUGCAGGGUUGUAUGAGGACAAGGGAAAUGAUUUCAAAUCAAAAGAGGGGAGAUUUAGAUUGGAUACAAGGAAAAAGUUCUCUACAAUAAGGGCAGUGAAGCACCGAAGCAGGUUGCUUAGGGAGGUGGCGGAUAUCCCAUCCCUGGGGAUAUUCAAGGUCAGGCUGGACAGGCUCUGAGCACCCUGCUCUAGCUGUAGGCAUCCCUCUUCAUUACAGGAGAGUUGGACUAGAUGACCUUUAAGGAUACCCUCAAAAUCAAACGGUUCCACAAUUCUAUGAUUCCAUGAUUCUGUGCUGCAGUCAAUGCAGCGCUGGUGUGGAUGAUGACCUCUAACUUCAGAGGAAGGUGAUGCAGCCUAAGCCAAGGAGCGAUGAUGGAGGG